GAUGAACGCUGGCGGCGUGCCUAAUACAUGCCAGUCGAGCGAACGGACGAGAAGCUUGCUUCUCUGAUGUUAGCGGCGGACGGGUGAGUAACACGUGGAUAACCUACCUAUAAGACUGGGAUAAUUUCGGGAAACCGGAGCUAAUACCGGAUAAUAUUUUGAACCGCAUGGUUCAAAAGUGAAAGACGGUCUUGCUGUCACUUAUAGAUGGAUCCGCGCUGCAUUAGCUAGUUGGUAAGGUAACGGCUUACCAAGGCAACGAUGCAUAGCCGACCUGAGAGGGUGAUCGGCCACACUGGAACUGAGACACGGUCCAGACUCCUACGGGAGGCAGCAGUAGGGAAUCUUCCGCAAUGGGCGAAAGCCUGACGGAGCAACGCCGCGUAAGUGAUGAAGGUCUUCGGAUCGUAAAACUCUGUUAUUAGGGAAGAACAUAUGUGUAAGUAACUGUGCACAUCUUGACGGUACCUAAUCAGAAAGCCACGGCUAACUACGUG
rnacentral:rRNA from 1 species